rnacentral:lncRNA from 1 species
CAACAAAGCCACCCUCACAAUGGAAUGUUCCAGAAUCCACUACAAACAUGACAAGCUGUCCUAUCUACUGUCAUGCUUGAAGUCACCAUCCCAUCAUGACAGUCCCCCUUACAAAGCCCAGGCUUGGCCUCAGAUUCUUCAGGCAGCAUUUCAGGAGGACAAGGAGAAGGAGGAGGAGGAAGAUGAGGAUGAAGAGGACGAGGAGGAUGAGGACAAGGACAAGGAGGACCAUUGGCCCCGUGGCUGGCAACUUUUCAGGAAAGGAUACCUGAGAACAAGUGUCCUGGGUUCUACCCUUAAGGCAAAGUGCA